rnacentral:sRNA from 1 species
AUUCUGCCCAUGCGGGGAAGGAUGAGAAGCUUCGACUAAGGUUCGGCUCGAGCGUCAGCGAGAGAGCGUUGCCGCAGGCAACGACCCGAAGGGCGAAGCGCGCAGCGCUGAGUAAUCCUUCCCCCCCCACCA